rnacentral:rRNA from 1 species
UACAGAGGUCCCAAGCGUUGUUCGGAUUCACUGGGCGUAAAGGGUGCGUAGGCGGCGCGGUAAGUCGGGUGUGAAAUCUCGGAGCUUAACUCCGAAACUGCAUUCGAUACUGCCGUGCUUGAGGACUGGAGAGGAGACUGGAAUUUACGGUGUAGCGGUGAAAUGCGUAGAUAUUCGCAAGAACACCAGUGGCGAAGGCGGCUCACUGGUCCGGUACUGACGCUGAGGUGCGAAAGCGUGGGGAGCAAACAGG